rnacentral:lncRNA from 1 species
CGUUGCUACCCCAAACGCCCCCGUUUCAUGCCCACUUGAUCAUAACCGUUGAAUUUUUAUCAUCCAACGGUUCACGUUAAUUACCGCCAUUUUAGUAUACCCAAACCUUAAGCCCGCCCCCUCCAAGUCACCCUCGUCUCUCUCACCCCCUAAACUCUAGAGAUAGUCACCAUUAUCCUCCUCCGCCUUCUGGUGGCGGCCGGCUCCAUUCACCACAAAAAUAAUACCACCGAACCGCCACAUCCCCCUCUUUCCAAAUCCUAGGUUAGAUUCCCUCAAAUCUUGCUCAAACCUCUCGAAUAUUAGAUCCAAAUUCAAGCCCUAAUAGUUUAAAAGUAGAUAUGGUCCAAAUUGGUGGCAUGCAUCGGCUCAGGAAGGCUGAAUCACUACAAAAUUGAUGUCAUUCGCUCUUUCUUGACAGAGAAAAGCGAUUGGUAUCAGUUUUGUGCGAAUCAAUUCAUCAGGUUUCAAUUUUGAGUGUAGCAAGUUGAGUUUUAUUUUUCUUUUCGCAAAGUUUCAUUGGUGUGUUCUUCUCCUCUUCUUAUUCUUCUAGGAUUGUUCUAAUGAUUUGUUCUUGGUCUGUAUGUUUGAAGAAUUUCGAACUCUGUUUUGUUUUUCCUUUUAUAUCAAUUCAAUGAUCGUUUGUUAGUUUUUCAGUUUUGCUUCUCAAAUUUUAGUUAAGGUUAAAUUGUUGUCCUUUUAUGAUUAAGGUUGUGGCAUGUUCUAUUCAUUAGCUUAAGUAGAGUGUUGUCAAUUUAUAAAUUUUGUUAGCUUUGUUAUGGUAUCUAACUUGAAAGAGAUUCAAUGGGGAUUACAGAUUUAUA